AGAGUUUGAUCCUGGCUCAGGACGAACGCUGGCGGCGUGCCUAAUACAUGCAAGUCGAGCGGUCCCUUCGGGGAUAGCGGCGGACGGGUGAGUAACACGUAGGCAACCUGCCUGUAAGACUGGGAUAACCUCCGGAAACGGAUGCUAAUACCAGAUACGCGAUUCUGCUGCAUGGCGGAAUCGGGAAAGACGGUGCAAGC
rnacentral:rRNA from 1 species